UGGAAAUGAAUAGGGCGCGGAGUGUCCAUA
rnacentral:piRNA from 1 species